rnacentral:rRNA from 1 species
UACGAAGGGGGCUAGCGUUGUUCGGAAUUACUGGGCGUAAAGCGCACGUAGGCGGUUCGAUCAGUCAGGGGUGAAAGCCCAGGGCUCAACCCUGGAAUUGCCUUCAAUACUGGCGACCUUGAGUAUGGCAGAGGUGUGUGGAACUCCGAGUGUAGAGGUGAAAUUCGUAGAUAUUCGGAAGAACACCAGUGGCGAAGGCGACACACUGGGCCAUUACUGACGCUGAGGCACGAAAGCCAGGGGAGCGAACGGG